UUUGAGGAUAUGACAUUUAAAAUGAGACCUAAAAGACCAGAUGGAGUAAUGGGAAGUCUCAACAGAGGAAGCAGACAUGUGAAGGCAGAGAACCAGAAAGAAUGUAGUUUAUUCAAGAACUGAGAGCAACUUAAAGUGGCCAGAAAACAGAAACUAUGUCAGCUGUGCUUGAUAAAAAAGAGCAAAGCUUUCCUGUGUCCACCUGUUCAAAGACUUUGAGCUCUUCAAGAGGAGGAACCACAUUUUAGUUAUUUCUCUUAUACAGCGACUGACACACAGUAAGUGCACAAGAAAAGCCUGUGAGUGAAGGAAUGAAUGAGUGUAUGAAAAUGCCUUUGAGUUGGGGUCUAGGCAAGGUCUAAUGACU